UACAGAGGGUGCAAGCGUUAAUCGGAAUUACUGGGCGUAAAGCGCGCGUAGGUGGUUUGUUAAGUUGAAUGUGAAAUCCCCGGGCUCAACCUGGGAACUGCAUCCAAAACUGGCAAGCUAGAGUAUGGUAGAGGGUGGUGGAAUUUCCUGUGAAGCGGUGAAAUGCGUAGAUAUAGGAAGGAACACCAGUGGCGAAGGCGACCACCUGGACUGAUACUGACACUGAGGUGCGAAAGCGUGGGGAGCAAACAGG
rnacentral:rRNA from 1 species